rnacentral:sRNA from 1 species
UUUAAAGGAGGACAGUCUAAGAACGCGACAUCGUGUCGCAACGACUGUCUGACCCGCAUCGUGUGGG